rnacentral:rRNA from 1 species
CGUAGGGUGCGAGCGUUAAUCGGAAUUACUGGGCGUAAAGCGUGCGCAGGCGGUUUUGUAUGACAGAUGUGAAAUCCCCGGGCUCAACCUGGGACCUGCAUUUGUGACUGCAAGGCUAGAGUACGGUAGAGGGGGAUGGAAUUCCGCGUGUAGCAGUGAAAUGCGUAGAUAUGCGGAGGAACACCGAUGGCGAAGGCAAUCCCCUGGACCUGUACUGACGCUCAUGCACGAAAGCGUGGGGAGCAAACAGGAUUAGAUACCCUGGUAGUCCACGCCCUAAACGAUGUCAACUGGUUGUUGGGUCUUUACUGACUCAGUAACGAAGCUAACGCGUGAAGUUGACCGCCUGGGGAGUACGGCCGCAAGGUUG